rnacentral:rRNA from 1 species
UACGUAGGAUGCAAGCGUUGUUCGGAAUUACUGGGCGUAAAGCGUACGUAGGCGGUGACAUAAGUUUAAUAUUAAAGACCGAAGCUCAACUUCGGGAAUGUAUUGAAUACUGUGUCGCUAGAGGUUAAUAGAGGAAAUCGGAAUUCCCAGUGUAGCGGUGAAAUGCGUAGAUAUUGGGAAGAACACCGGUGGCGAAAGCGGAUUUCUGGGUUAAUACUGACGCUGAGGUACGAAAGUGUGGGGAGCAAACAGG